rnacentral:rRNA from 1 species
GUGUCCCUACGGGGCGCAGCAGUGGGGAAUAUUGGGCAAUGGGCGCAAGCCUGACCCAGCAACGCCGCGUGAAGGAAGACGGUUUUCGGAUUGUAAACUUCUAUCAAUAGGGAAGAAAGAAAUGACGGUACCUAAAUAAGAAGCCCCGGCUAACUACGUGCCAGCAGCCGCGGUAAUACGUAGGGGGCAAGCGUUAUCCGGAAUUACUGGGUGUAAAGGGUGAGUAGGCGGCACUGUAAGUAAGAUGUGAAAGCCUUAGGCUUAACCUGAGGAUUGCAUUAUAAACUGCAGAGCUAGAGUGCAGG